rnacentral:piRNA from 1 species
UNGGACUUGAGUUUGGACACUACAUCCUG